rnacentral:rRNA from 1 species
UGGGGGCAAUAACAGGUCUGUGAUGCCCUUAGAUGUCCUGGGCCGCACGCGCGCUACACUGAUGCAUGCAACGAGUUUUUUUUCCUGGGUCGAGAGGCCCGGGUAAUCUGUUGAACGUGCAUCGUGAUAGGGAUAGAUCAUUGCAAUUAUUGAUCUUGAACGAGGAAUUCCUAGUAAACGCGAGUCAUCAGCUCGCAUUGAUUACGUCCCUGCCCUUUGUACACACCGCCCGUCGCACCUACCGAUUGAAUCAUUCGGUGAGGAUUCCGGAUUCCGUAGCUUACGCUUCACGGCGUUUUUUACGAAAAAAGUUAUCCAAACCUCAUGAUUUAGAGGAAGGUGAAGUCGUAACAAGGUUUCCGUAGGUGAACCUGCGGAAGGAUCA